UAAAGUGGUACGCGAGCUGGGUUUAGAACGUCGUGAGACAGUUCGGUCCCUAUCUGCCGUGGGCGCUGGAGAACUGAGGGGGGCUGCUCCUAGUACGAGAGGACCGGAGUGGACGCAUCACUGGUGUUCGGGUUGUCAUGCCAAUGGCACUGCCCGGUAGCUAAAUGCGGAAGAGAUAAGUGCUGAAAGCAUCUAAGCACGAAACUUGCCCCGAGAUGAGUUCUCCCUGAGACUUUAGGUCUCCUGAAGGAACGUUGAAGACGACGACGUUGAUAGGCCGGGUGUGUAAGCGCAGCGAUGCGUUGAGCUAACCGGUACUAAUGAACCGUGAGGCUUAACCUUACAACGCCGAAG
rnacentral:rRNA from 1 species